GACGAACGCUGGCGGCGUGCUUAACACAUGCCAGUCGAACGGAAAGGCCUGCUUUCCCUUGUGGAUUGCGGGUACUCGAGUGGCGAACGGGUGAGUAACACGUGAGUGAUCUGCCCCCAACUUGGGUAUAAGCCUGGGAAACUGGGUCUAAUUCCCGAUAGGACUGCAGGGUGGUGCCUGUGGUGGAAAACGAUUUUCUAGUGGUUGGGGAUGAGCUCGCGGCCUAUCAGCUUGUUGGUGGGGUAAUGGCCUACCAAGGCGGCGACGGGUAGCCGGCCUGAGAGGGUGGACGGCCACAUUGGGACUGAGAUACGGCCCAGACUCCUACGGGAGGCAGCAGUGGGGAAUAUUGCACAAUGGGCGGAAGCCUGAUGCAGCGACGCCGCGUGGGGGAUGACGGUCUUCGGGUUGUAAACUCCUUUCGACCGCGAGGAAGCCACCUGGUUGGAAGGGUGGUGACGGUAGUGGUAGAAGAAGCACCGGCUAACUACGUG
rnacentral:rRNA from 1 species